rnacentral:rRNA from 1 species
CCCUUAGACACUCUAGGCGGCACGCGCGCUACAAUGGGUAGUAGAACGUGUUACUAUGUUCGAAGGAACAGGUGAAUCACGAAUACUUACCCGUGAAUGGGAUAGUUUGUUGCAAUUUUCGGACUUGAACUAGGAAUCCCUUGUAAACAUGCUCAAGAAUAGCGUGUUGAAUACGUCCCUGCCGUUUGUACACACCGCCCGUCGUUUCUUCCGACUGAUACUCAUUGUGAGUUGCAAGGAUCUUUCAUUGGAAAAUUGCUGCGAAUGCUUUGUAUUGGAGGAAGAAAAAGUCGUAACA